rnacentral:lncRNA from 1 species
UUUUUGUACUAAUAAUAUCUCAUUGUAUAAAUAGACCACAUUUUGUUUAUCCAUUCAUCAGUUGUCAGACAUUUGGGAUGUUUUUACUUUUUGGCUAUUGUGAAUAAUGCUACUAAUAUUUGUGUACAGGUUUUUAUGUGGACAUAUGUUUUCAUUUUGCUUUAGUGUAUAUCUAGGAGGCUGCUUAUGUUUGGGGACCAGAGAUAGGUAAAAGAAUCAGUGAAGAUAGUAAAUAAGUUGAAAUAAACCUCAAUUUAAUUAAACAUGUCAACUCCCAGACUAUUUUAUUGCUUGGUACUUAAAACACACUCCCAAGAGGAAGAUUAAUUAAUAAAGCUGCAGUGUGGGAUAGCUAUCCAGCUGGAAGCAGCACAGGCCCCUAACAAGGUUUGUUUUUGGCAAAUUCCCAUCUCCAGUCUUCUCUUCUCCCACAAUAGGGUGAAGCAUCCCAUUCCUGCCUUAUCCCCAGAAGGCCUGGCUUCCAGACAUCUGUCUCAGAAAGAGGUAUGAGGCAGAAGGUUCCACUAGGUAAAUUGUUGAUAAAAGCUCAAGUGCAAUUCCUGCCCUAGGAUUUGGACUUGAAUAAAGGGACUCUCAAGACACUGAGGAAUGACUCUCAAUUCUGGAAAGUGUAGGCACUUGCAAAGGGGCAGAGAGUUGUGUGAGAAUAUGGAGGAGGAAGAUUCUUGGAUGGUCCCUCCAAUCAGGCCAGUUGUAUGUGCUACGUAUGUAGGGGUUGGACCCACCCCCUUGUCCAGUGAUCUUGGAGAAGUCACUUAAACGUUCUCUUUUGG